GAUGAACGCUGGCGGCGUGCCUAAUACAUGCAAGUCGAGCGAACAGACGAGGAGCUUGCUCCUCUGACGUUAGCGGCGGACGGGUGAGUAACACGUGGAUAACCUACCUAUAAGACUGGGAUAACUUCGGGAAACCGGAGCUAAUACCGGAUAAUAUAUUGAACCGCAUGGUUCAAUAGUGAAAGCCGGUUUUGCUGUCACUUAUAGAUGGAUCCGCGCGGCAUUAGCUAGUUGGUAAGGUAACGGCUUACCAAGGCAACGAUGCGUAGCCGACCUGAGAGCGUGAUCGGCCACACUGGAACUGAGACACGGUCCAGAGUCCGACGGGAGGCAGCAGUAGGGAAUCUUCCGCAAUGGGCGAAAGCCUGACGGAGCAACGCCGCGUGAGUGAUGAAGGUCUUCGGAUCGGAAAACUCUGUUAUUAGGGAAGAACAAAUGUGUAAGGAACUAUGCACGUCGUGACGGUACCUAAUCAGAAAGCCACGGCUAACUACGUG
rnacentral:rRNA from 1 species